UUUCUCCUUUAGAUUUGGAAAUAGUUUUACAUCGUUUUGAAUGCCUCAAUAUGACUGCUAUUCCCAAUAGUUGCCAUAUUUGAUGUAUCUGCAUUUCGUUAGCGCUGGUUCAUCGGAAUAUGUUCAGAUUCGAUCGUCUUCCGAUAUGCAUGGAGUUUAUUUGCAGAGACAUCGACGGAAUUUCAACGCUCUCUAUUUUGGUUUUUGUCGUUGAGUUUGUAGCAGAAGUUUAACUCGAAGUUCUUGCUUUCAAUCUUUUUUAUUAUCAGGAAAAAUACAAGUGUAUGUCAUAUGAUUCAGAAAGAAAUUUGCUUCUGACAUGGUGUUAUCGUAAAAGUUUGUCCUAUCAUAAUUUUCAUGGUGUUCGACUGCAUCUCCGUGCAGUCUGGAAUCCUGACGGCCAUUUGAUCUUGCAAUGUGAACUGAGGAGGCAGCUUUUCGUGUUCUGUGAGACUGUGACAGAUGAUGCACGUGAGAAAAUACUCUAGCGCAAGAAACUGGGAGAGGCAGAAGCAGAGGUGGAGGGUGGUAGGACAGAGUUGUCUGGCUGCCCCUUUCCUCCUGAGCUGUAAGAACGAAACACAGACAGUAGAGAGGGGAAGAUCGAACCCAAGGUGAAGGUCGCUUCGACCUCCUCCUCCUCUGAAACCCAACUUAGAAGCUUGCAAGCCUCAGAAUCUCGAGACUAGACGGCAAAGAUGCAAAACCGCCGUUGUUCCCCAGAGCUUAAGGUGGAGCUACUGUGCGAAGGAUGUUCAAGGACUUCUAUCAUUUUCUUCUUUCCGUUCUGAGAUUUGAUCAUUCCUCAUCUUCUUGUUUCUUCUUCCUCUUCAGUGCUGGCACCACGUUAUUCUCUUGCUUGCUUCUUCUGCAAUCUUUUAAGUUGCUAUGCCUACUCAUUUUCUCUCAUUAGUAGUAUCUUUGUUUUUAUUUUUUUGCUUCACUUCCUGGUUUGUCCAUCUUUUUUACCCUUAUCCUUUCCUAAAACAAAGAGAAGGGGAAAUGGCUUUUAGGACUUAAUUUUUAUGGAAUCUCCAGUCAAUUCCCUGCUAAAGGCAUACGUAUUGUUCGAUUGAUCUAGUGGUUGGUACGUUUCAUGGAUUACUUAGUGUUCCUCAUUUCGCUUCCUUGUUGUCCUUCAUUUUGGUGAACUGUUCAUUCUUUCUUUUAUUCUCCUUUAUGUCAUUCUAUAUUUCUAUUAGAAUGAAUUUAUUGAAUUUGGAGCCGGUAGCCGGUGGUCAUGUUGAUCAUAAAUGUCGGUAACCGUAUGCUGUGACAGAGAAUUCCACCUGCAUUUAUGAAGCAUCUUGCAAUUAAGGAAUCAGGAAGGGCGGUGGUAAAAGACCAGUUCAGUAGAUGUUGGGGCAUUGAAAUUUUGGGGGCAGUAUUGACUUCAUUCGUCACGAAGACCAUGUAGAAGACGCGCUUCAACCAUCUCAUGGGGAGGAAAAGGGAAGAUCUGCAUCAUCUGACGCAUGGGAUGCAGGGCAUGGAGCUUCAAGUCUACUAACCCUACUUUCAAGAAGUUGGUGACAAAUCCCAGCGGUUACAGUACGAAAGUUCCUCUUUCCUUCUCAUCUGCAUACUUCACCAAAAAAAGGGCCACCUCUCUUGAAGUUUCUAAACCAGCAUGGUAUGCAGUGGACUGUCAAAUACAACAGUAGAUUGCGAGCACUAACCACCGGGUGGCAACC